rnacentral:rRNA from 1 species
AUACGUAGGUGGCAAGCGUUGUCCGGAUUUAUUGGGCGUAAAGCGAGCGCAGGCGGUCUCUUAAGUCUGAUGUGAAAGCCCCCGGUUCAACCGGGGAGGGUCAUUGGAAACUGGGAGACUUGAGUGCAGAAGAGGAGAGUGGAAUUCCAUGUGUAGCGGUGAAAUGCGUAGAUAUAUGGAGGAACACCAGUGGCGAAGGCGGCUCUCUGGUCUGUAACUGACGCUGAGGCUCGAAAGCGUGGGGAGCAAACAGGAUUAGAUACCCUGGUAGUCCACGCCGUAAACGAUGAGUGCUAAGUGUUGGAGGGUUUCCGCCCUUCAGUGCUGCAGCUAACGCAUUAAGCACUCCGCCUGGGGAGUACGGCCGCAAGGCUGAAACUCAAAGGAAUUGACGGGG